rnacentral:rRNA from 1 species
UACGUGGGGGGCAAGCGUUGUCCGGAUUUAUUGGGCGUAAAGAGCGUGUAGGCGGCUUUACAGGUCCGUUGUGAAAACUCGAGGCUCAACCUCGAGACGCCGGUGGAAACCGUAAGGCUAGAGUCCGGAAGAGGAGAGUGGAAUUCCUGGUGUAGCGGUGAGAUGCGCAGAUAUCAGGAGGAACACCCGUGGCGAAAGCGGCUCUCUGGGACGGUACUGACGCUGAGACGCGAAAGCGUGGGGAGCAAACAGG